AACGAACGCUGGCGGCAGGCCUAACACAUGCAAGUCGAGCGCCCUUUCGGGGGAGCGGCGGACGGGUGAGUAACGCGUGGGAAUAUGCCCUUCUCUACGGAAUAGCCUCGGGAAACUGAGAGUAAUACCGUAUACGCCCUUUGGGGGAAAGAUUUAUCGGGGAAGGAUUAGCCCGCGUUGGAUUAGGUAGUUGGUGGGGUAAUGGCCUACCAAACCGACGAUCCAUAGCUGGUUUGAGAGGAUGAUCAGCCACACUGGGACUGAGACACGGCCCAGACUCCUACGGGAGGCAGCAGUGGGGAAUCUUGGACAAUGGGGGCAACCCUGAUCUAGCCAUGCCGCGUGAGUGAUGAAGGCCUUAGGGUUGUAAAGCUCUUUCAGCUGGGAAGAUAAUGACGGUACCAGCAGAAGAAGCCCCGGCUAACUCCGUG
rnacentral:rRNA from 1 species